rnacentral:rRNA from 1 species
AACAAACGCUGGCGGCGUGCCGAACACAUGCAAGUCGUACGAGAAAGGGUCCUUCGGGGCCUGAGUAAAGUGGCGCACGGGUGAGUAACGCGUGGAUAAUCUGCCCUUCAGUUGGGAAUAACUCAUCGAAAGGUGGGCUAAUACCGAAUAAUGCUGUGAGACCUCGGUUGAUCAGCCAAAGAGAGCCUCUGCUUGCAAGCCCUCGCUGAAGGAUGAGUCCGCGUACCAUUAGCUAGUUGGUAGGGUAAUGGCCUACCAAGGCGACGAUGGUUAGCUGGUCUGAGAGGAUGAUCAGCCACACUGGAACGGAGACACGGUCCAGACUCCUACGGGAGGCAGCAGUGAGGAAUCUUGCGCAAUGGGGGCAACCCUGACGCAGCAACGCCGCGUGAGUGAGGAAGGUCUUCGGAUCGUAAAGCUCUGUCGGAUGGAAAGAACCGCAUAGGGGUAAACAGCCCCUGUGUCUGACGGUACCAUCAAAGGAAGCACCGGCUAACUCCGUGCCAGCCGCCGCGGUAACAC